UACGAACUGUGCGAACGUUAUUCGGAAUCACUGGGCUUACAGGGUGCGUAGGCGGCUUGUUAAGUAGGGUGUGAAAGCCCCCGGCUCAACCGGGGAAUGGCGCCCUAAACUGGCGAGCUGGAGUGAGAUAGGGGUGUGCGGAACUUCCGGUGGAGCGGUGAAAUGUGUUGAUAUCGGAAGGAACGCCGGUGGCGAAAGCGGCACACUGGAUCUCAACUGACGCUGAGACACGAAAGCGUGGGUAGCAAACAGG
rnacentral:rRNA from 1 species